rnacentral:rRNA from 1 species
AACGAGAAGAACCUUACCUACUCUUGACAUCCAGAGAACUUAGCAGAGAUGCUUUGGUGCCUUCGGGAACUCUGAGACAGGUGCUGCAUGGCUGUCGUCAGCUCGUGUUGUGAAAUGUUGGGUUAAGUCCCGCAACGAGCGCAACCCUUAUCCUUUGUUGCCAGCGGUUCGGCCGGGAACUCAAAGGAGACUGCCAGUGAUAAACUGGAGGAAGGUGGGGAUGACGUCAAGUCAUCAUGGCCCUUACGAGUAGGGCUACACACGUGCUACAAUGGCGCAUACAAAGAGAAGCGACCUCGCGAGAGCAAGCGGACCUCAUAAAGUGCAUCGUAGUCCGGAUUGGAGUCUGCAACUCGACUCCGUUAAGUCGGAA